ACAAUUUUUAGUUCAGCUAUAGGCCACAGUGGUGCGCAUCCGCGUAAGCUGCGCACGACUUUUGGCUUGUCGCGUACUUUUGAAUUGCAAUAAGAUCUAUAAGAAAGUUUGUAUACCUGUAACCGGUUUUUACGAAAUUGAAACUUAUUUAUGAAUGAUAUGGCGUGUUGAUUGGAAUAGGAAAAGUUUUGUAAAUUGAUUGGAAGGGGAAAGGUUUUGUAAACAGGUUGUUUGUCAACCAAAAAGUCGCCGGUAAGGUUUCAUGUAUUUAUACAGUUUUUAUUUUGUCGUUUUCUGUAGCUUCUUACUCCCAUUUGAAGAAUUGACAACACAUGUCGUUCUGUGUGUCAGCAAGGUUUUUAAUAAUUUCGAUGUCACAGAAGAAUCAUGGUAAAAUGGGGAAACCACCAUUUUGCGAUCAAAUCUCCAAACCGUUAUUGCAUCUAUGUGGAAAAGAGAGCUUAAAGUGUGUCAGCAGCUAGCCUCCUUACAAAAAAAAGUAAUUCAUAUGGAUACACAGUAUUCAAAACAGCUGGAAGCAUUAAGACAGAAAUGAAGUUCAAGGUUUUUUCGUUUCAUUUUGACAAUAUUAUUUAGUCUGUGGUGGCAUUAUAUACCUUAUUUGAUAUGUGAAUAUUUUUUGUAGAGUGUUAAAACUUCUCAGGAAUUAGAUUUCGAGGAGUUACAUAACAAGUGCAAGAAGAUUGAACGAAAUGUGAAAGAGCAACACAAGAAUAAAAUACUUCCCACCUCAACUCAAGAAUCAUCAAACAAAAGAAAAUCCUAAACAGAUCUUCUUUGAAAUGGCUGAAUGUGAGGUGAACAUUCUAAAGUCAAAACAGGAAUUCAGACUGACUAUCCAAAAGCCCGAAACGUCAAACGUCAACGUCAAAGUCGGGGAUUUUUUUAGGUUAACGUCAAAAGUCACCAACACGUCAUUUUUUGCGGAAAAAUGACUUAAGUUGUGACUUAAGUAAAAAAAUUACGUACCAUUCACUGCUGUUUGGAUUAUUUCCAGCAAAAAAAACAAAAAAAAAAACAAAAACAAAAUUAUGCUUCCUGGGGUGCUGAAAAUUUAGGGGCCUAGGGGGUAAUUUAGCGUUCCGUAAUCGUGGCCGCUAGAUUGGAUUGGUAGCGUUGUUGGUUGGUGAUUAUUUUCAGUACCUACCCGAGGUACUGAAAAAAAGGGGGUAAUUUGUCGUUCCGUAGAAUUCUGUUUGCCGAUUUAUUGUCCACGGUCUGUACUGUAUUUCCUUUCAACCAAUGGAAAAACAUUCUCCUGAUAAGGA